CUUGUUCUAUACUUAAUUUUAAACAAUUCUCAGGUUGAACACAUUUUUUUGAUCUCAUUCUACAUGAAACUGGUUUCAUGAAAAGUGACUGUUUCUGUAUCUUGGCAACCUUGAGAAAUAGUUUUACUUUCCAUUUGAAGAAGAACAAUGUUCACUGUCACUGCGUUCUAUUCCACCAAUUCCUGUCGGUUCACUCUUGUGACAUUUGAAUUAUUCCACGGUUACCGACUACAUGAGAAACGUCUUUAGCACAAAAUAAAAGUCGAAGGUGAGAGUGGAAACUGGAUAGAAGAAGGGAUAUUGGAUGAAAAUUACAUUGCAGGGGGUGAAAAAAAAACAUAUAAAAAUGUGCAUAAUCCCGACAAAGAAAACUCGGAAGGAAAUCCUUAAAAACACAAAAAAUCUACACAAACCAGCCUAGAAAUAUGACAAUUGCUGUGCAAAUCAGCUCCACUUUUUCUGUAAGUUACAACUUUAGUUGCUACAGUUCUUGUCUUUAAAUUGUAGUUUUAUUUCCAGUUCUGGAAACCACUUCAAAGAAAAGUAGGUAAUCAUAGAAACGUUUCCAUAAAAGCUGCAAACUCUUGUUAUUCAGCCUCCCACACAGAGGAGCUCGUUCAUCUGAAAGGCACAUAUGGUUUCCAUGUUUCUGCUAAUGAAGACAAGUUGAGGAUGAAUCCCGUUUCCACACAUGCUGCAAUAGCUCACUCAGUAACAGUCGGAACAGGCGGCUCCGUCUGUCCUCACUAAUCCCUCAUGGGACAGAUGCCGUGAUGAACAUUGGAGCACUCUGACAACCACAGCCAGAGCACGUCACUUAUUAUUAAUAUUAGAACAUGGGGUGUGGUUCCAGUUUUGGCUCCGCCCCUCCAUCUUUUGCCAAAACAACACUGGAGCUGGGAAGAGUUGAGGUUUCCAAAGGAGUAAGACCUUUAGCUCAAACUUUUAUUUUGAAGAAAUUAUUCAAAAGUUGAAAAUGGAUGUAAAUUUUCUCUAUUUUUAAAAUAUAUAUAUAUAUAUAUUGCCAUGUAGACAGAAAAUAACAGAUAGCCAAUCAUCAAAACUAACUCUUAUGAGGUUCAAGUGCUCAAAAACAGGCGGUCAGUGUAUGAACAAGGCCGAGUAGAGCGGGGCUUCCAUUGAAGGGCAGCAGUGUGGCAGGGUGCUGGGGCCCUGCCAGGAGCUUCCCGUGUCCGUGCAGGAGGAAGGGGGAGGAAGCUUUAGCUCUAUUAGCUCCAGAACAAGGAGCCCAUCUCAAAUGACACUUUGCUAAUCACAAACUUGACACCCAUUGCUGUUAUUAAGCUCCAACUGUCACCCCAUCUGCUCCCUUAUUUAACUUUUGAGGUAUUUUAGGGUUUAUAAAUGUUGAGUGUGAUCGUUUUUGGUCACCUUAGGACAACAAAGCCAAAAAAAUAAAUAAAUAACGAGAAGUCAUGCUGUUGAAAAGCUUUUCCUGUCAUAUUCAAGUGACCCAACAAGUAACUGAAGGUGUUAACAAGUCAGCUGUGUUUCUGAGCCUAUGAUGUUAGCUAAAAGUCUGUUUGACAGUUCAGUAAAUAAUGUAUAGGCACAGCGAUAGAGUGGACAAAAAGGAAAUCUCACUACAAAUGUUGCAAGAAAACUUCCUAUUUUAUCCAAUUGUAGGAUUGAAAACAAUUGUAAACUCUAAAAACACAAUUACAUUAAAAACACAGGAGUUGUAAAGUACCCCAAAA